AACCGGGCACUUAGCCGUGCGGGAAUGAUGCCGAGCCUUUAGCCCGAUCGGGGGCGGCAAUGGGCGCCUCGCCGGAUCAGGAGCACAGCCGACACCCUGCCGGAUCCAGAGGGGUGGAAGUCAGCAGCGAGUCUGCGAUGGUGGCAUUCAGCAGUGGUGGACGGCAAGUGAAAGCUCAGCUCGAGCCGUAACAAACACAGAACAGAAGAAUGUGCAGUUGCAAGAUCUA
rnacentral:lncRNA from 1 species